rnacentral:lncRNA from 1 species
CAGAAGCCUCGAUCUUACACUGGCCUUAGCCACCAACUAGCCUUGGGACCUGGGCAGGCCACAUUCCCCGCUUACUCUGCUGAGUUUCAUUCUCUUUUGGGAUCUGGAUCAGCUGAGCUCAAAUCAGAUCCAUUGCAUGAACCAAGAGAUGAAGCUGGCACAAUGGCCGAUUUCAAAUGCACGAGGGUGUUGAGAGCCAUUCCACGGAGGCAAGAAAAUAAUGUAAUUAGUGAUCAAGCUCCAAAGUUAGAUGUGGUCCAAGUUAUUUGCACACACUCGGGCGGUUACCAAGGAGAUACUUGUAUUAUCUGCCGUCAUUCCCAGCAGGCACUUCGUUAGUGUGUGAUUGGGGUGGUAGUGGAAACAGGACCGAGGGAAAUGGCACUCAGGCUGGACUUAACGGAGAUGUUUGAUCACACCCAGCCAGGCACGUGGAUACUGCGCUGAAGCAUCGCAUCAAAGCAUCCCCACACAGGCCCAUCCUGGAGGCCACUCUCCACUCGGCCUUGUGAGACAAUUGCCUUGUAAAUUUCUCCUCUUCUCUCGGGCUCUGAACUCAUUUAUUUCCGUGUUCAGCACAGCCCUGUCCCAGGGAGCAGCCCCCCAGCAUCUUGGCCUGAUGGCAGGGCGUACUUGAAAAAGCAGUCAGGUGCUCAGACAGGUAACCAGAGCCUAGUAAAAGUUCCCUAAGUGAUGGAGAGGAAAUCUUUGCAGUCUGUCAAAAUGAGGGGUUGUUCUCUUCAUCUUCUCCCAGCUUUUCCACAAAACCCAUUUCCUGACGUUGCCUUGACACUUUUGUGGGCUGCGUUUCCUUUCCUGGACAGCUUGUUAAAUAUAGUCUGUACCAGACCUAUAUCUUAACAUCCUCUUUGGGAGAGCUGUUGGAAAACAGACCCUUGUGCUCUGGCUGCUUGGGUGUCAGAGUUGGUAGGCUUUAUUUUAAGAUUUAAUCCAACGAACACUUAGUUUGCACCUGCUGUGCACUAGAAUAUGGAUUGCAUGCCGGAGGACUCAGAAACAAAAGGGCACCGUUCUGGCUCCCAAGAUUUAUUAUUGAUGCAGAGAAACAGUUUAAAAAAAAGAUAAAUGCUGGGUUUGGUUGGAUAAACGCUUUGCAAAAGCUAUGGGGUCUUUGGUUUUUUUUUUUUUUUUUUUUUUUUUUUUUUGUGUGUGUGUGUGUGUGUUUUAGAGCUGCACCCACAGCAUAAGGAGGUUCCGCAGCAUAUGGUGGUUCCGCAAUUAGGGGCAGAAUCAAGCUGUAGCUGCUGACCUACGCCACAGCCACAGCCACACCAGAUCCGAGCCACAUCUGCGACCUACACCACAGCUUACGGCAAUGCUGGAUCCUUAACCCACUGAGUGAGACCAGGGAUCAAAUCCGCCUCCUCAUGGAUGCUAGUCAGGUUUGUUAACCACUGAGCCACAAUGGGAACUCCUAUUUUUUUUUUUUUUUUUAACUUAGGAUAGGGAAGCUCUUCCUUAGCCUGAUGUAAAAACCUUAGCCUGUACAGCAAAUGAUUAAGUUUGACUGCAUAAGCAUUUAAAUGCUAUGCACAGGAAAAACACCAUGGAUAACCCAAAGACAAACAACCCAGUGAGAAAAAUCACGCAACCCCCAAGACGGUCAAAAACUCAAUUUCCUUAGAUUGAAGAGCUCUUAUAAAUUCACAAGAAAGAGGGUAAACCGCCUGGUGGGGAAAUGGGGCAUCUCUUGGAAAAAGUAAAUACAAAGGACCUGUAAUCUUAUGAAACUACGUUCACUUCACUCAUAACCAAAUACUAAUCACCUCUCUGGGCUGGGAUGCGGGCCAGUAGACACACAUACCGGGGCUAUUUUUGGUAAUUUUUUUUCUUUUUUUUGUCUUUUUGCCACUUCUUAGGCCACUCCCAUGGCACAUGGAGGUUCCCAGGCUAGGGAUUGAAUUGGAGCUGUAGCCACCGGUCUACACCAGAGCCACAGCAGUGCAGGAUCUGAGCCGCAUCUGCGACCUACACCCCAGCUCACGGCAACGCUGGAUCCUUAACCCACUGAGCAAGGGCAGGGACCGAACCCACAGCCUCAUGGUUCCUAGUUGGAUUUGUUAACCACUGAGCCAUGACGGGAACUCCUAUUUUUGGUAAUUUCUAAUAGCACAGAAUAUUCACAGACCAAAGACCCUAUUGUACACAUUUCAUGCCUGGGGAUUCUUACUUCAUCACAGCAGCAUGGGCAUAGCUGGAAUAAACUUGGUUUAUUUAUGUGAGUUGGGGAGAAAGGAUUGUCCUGGACGUGGACUGAGAUGGGUGAGCAGGGGUUCAAGGCAGAAGAAUUCUCAAGGCCAGGCCAAAGAGGGCAUGGAAACAGAAGAUGAAAAAAUGAAGGAGAAGAGUUCCCACUGUGGCUUAGUGGGUUAAAGAUCUGGCGUUGUCUCUUUGGCAGCACCGGUUUGAUCCCCAGCCUGAUGCAGUGGGUUAAGGACCCUGCAUUGCCACUCCUGGGUCAUAGGCCGCAGCUGCGGCUCGGAUUCAGUCCCUGGCCCAGAAACUUCCGUAUGCCACUGGUGCAG